UUCAAAGGUGCUGAAGUAACAUGAGGGCUGAAUUGCAACUCUUCAGUGUGGUAUCGUCAGAGGAUGAAACUAAAGGAAGAAUGUUUCACCAAAAAGUCUUAUUUGUACGUGUCCAGGGGAUGAAAUACUGGGAAACAAACAUAAGCACUGUUUACACCUGACAAUGUAUGCAGACCAGCCCUGGUUCACCAGUAAUACUGGCUAGCCUUAUCUGUGUAAAAUUGUUUACCACUGCGGGCAAAGGUGACAAAAUCUGGCCCUCAGUAAAGAAAAGGAUAUUCAGAAGGAAAAAAAGAAAUGUGUGGUUAAAUUAACCAGGCACUAAUGACUAGUUGCCAUGAGCACUGAUGAAUGAGCAUUCAGGGAUGAAUUAUUUAUCUCAGCUUCACAGACAAUA